AUUGAACGCUGGCGGCAGGCCUAACACAUGCAAGUCGAGCGGGGUUUUCGGACCUAGCGGCGGACGGGUGAGUAAUGCGUAGGAAGCUGCCCGAUAGAGGGGGAUACCAGUUGGAAACGACUGUUAAUACCGCAUAAUGUCUACGGACCAAAGUGUGGGACCUUCGGGCCACAUGCUGUCGGAUGCGCCUACGUGGGAUUAGCUAGUUGGUGAGGUAAUAGCUCACCAAGGCGACGAUCUCUAGCUGGUUUGAGAGGAUGAUCAGCCACACUGGAACUGAGACACGGUCCAGACUCCUACGGGAGGCAGCAGUGGGGAAUAUUGGACAAUGGGCGCAAGCCUGAUCCAGCCAUGCCGCGUGUGUGAAGAAGGCCUUCGGGUUGUAAAGCACUUUCAGCGAGGAGGAAGGGGUAGUAGUUAAUAGCUGCUACUUUUGACGUUACUCGCAGAAGAAGCACCGGCUAACUCUGUGCCAGCAGCCGCAGUAACAC
rnacentral:rRNA from 1 species